rnacentral:rRNA from 1 species
UACGUAGGGGGCGAGCGUUGUCCGGAUUUAUUGGGCGUAAAGAGCGUGUAGGCGGCCAUACAGGUCAGCUGUGAAAACUCGAGGCUCAACCUCGAGACGUCGGUUGAAACCGUUUGGCUAGAGUCCGGAAGAGGAGAGUGGAAUUCCCGGUGUAGCGGUGAAAUGCGCAGAUAUCGGGAAGAACACCCGUGGCGAAGGCGGCUCUCUGGGACGGUACUGACGCUGAGACGCGAAAGCGUGGGGAGCGAACAGG